UUUGAUUCUGCAAUUACAAACUAUAGAUUCUAGAGAAUUCGAUUCAAACACCUAUGACUCAUUCUUCAAGCUUGUAAGUGUAAUAUGGGUUCUAUUUCUUGAUUUUUAUUUUUAUGUCAGGGGCUUUGAAUGAUUUAGAUUGUCGUUUGAUUGCAGCUGUAGAUAUUUUACCAUUUUUUAUAUAGAAAAUAUUCAACAUACAUUUGUGAGGAAAAAGAUAUGCACUCUAGUCACACCAGAAAACUAAUUUUACUUUUAAUUUUCUACAGUAUAUAUACUAAUUAACAUUUUUAAUUUAUUAAUCUCUAUAUUUACUUUCUCUUCUAUCGUACUUUAAUCUUAUUUUUUUCUUCUAUAUUUUUUUCCAUCUCAUUACAUAUUACAUCUAUCAUUUUUUUUCCUAUUAUUUCUGACAGAGUCAGAUCUUAUGUUGUCUGCCGAUGGCUGGUUCCUAUUUACAGAUCUUCACUGUGCAAGGUCAAGAAUUUAUCCUUUAUUUUUUUAUGAUGUAUAGUUUGUGCGUUGAAUGAUUCCGAUUGCCGUGGAAACAGC
rnacentral:lncRNA from 1 species